CAUGGUUCUGAACCGCAUGGCUAAAGGAGUAAAGGAGAUCGAUAUUGCUGCAACCCUGGAACAUAUUCGAGACCAGAGGCCAGGAAUGGUGCGCACCAAGGAUCAGUUUGAGUUUGCACUGACCGCUGUGGCUGAAGAGGUUAAUGCUAUUCUCAAAGCU